AUUGAACGCUGGCGGCAGGCCUAACACAUGCAAGUCGAACGAGUGGCGGACGGGUUAGUAAUGUCUGGGAAACUGCCCGAUUGAGGGGGAUAACUACUGGAAACGGUAGCUAAUACCGCAUACCAUCGGAUGUGCCCAGAUGGGAUUCGCUGGUAGGUGAGGUAACGGCUCACCUAGGCGACGCUCCCUAGCUGGUCUGAGAGGAUGACCAGCAAAACGGGAACUGAGAAACGGUCCAGACUAGUACGUGAGGUAGCAGUGGGGAAUAUUGCACAAGGGGCGCAAGCCUGAUGCAGCCAUGCCGAGUGUAUGAAGAAGGCCUUCGGGUGGUAAAGUACUUUCAGCGGGGAGGCGUUACCCGCAGAAGAAGCACCGGAUAACUCCGUGCCAGCAGACGCGGUAAUUC
rnacentral:rRNA from 1 species